rnacentral:rRNA from 1 species
CCCUAGUAUUAUUUAAUGAUGAAAUUAGUAUAAAGGAAAUUUAAAAUUUUUGGCGGUUAAUUAAUAAUUAGAGGAGCUUGUUUAUAAUAGUAUUUACUCUUUAUAUUUUAUUAAAUAUAAGCUUAUUUAUCUCCGUUACAAUGAUUAUAAAAUAAAGUUUAUACUUUGAUUUCAGGUCAAGAUGUAGCUAUUAUUUAAGAAAAUUAGCUACAAUUAUAAAAUAACGGAGGUUUAUUGAAAAAAUUCUGUAAGUUGAAUUUAACUGUAAUAUAUUUUAUUAUGAAUAUUUGAAAAUUUAUAAUUAAUGUA